rnacentral:rRNA from 1 species
CCUACGGGUGGCAGCAGUGGGGAAUAUUGCACAAUGGGGGAAACCCUGAUGCAGCGAUGCCGCGUGAGUGAAGAAGGAAUUCGUUAUGUAAAGCUCUAUCAGCAGGGAAGAAAAUGACGGUACCUGAGUAAGAAGCCCCGGCUAACUACGUGCCAGCAGCCGCGGUAAUCCGGAGGGGGCAAGCGUUAUCCGGAUUUACUGGGUGUGAAGGGAGCGUAGACGGCAGGGCAAGUCUGGAGUGAAAGGCGCGGGCUCAACCCCCGGACUGCUCUGGAAACUGGUCGGCUGGAGUGCAGGAGAGGUAAGUGGAAUGCCUAGUGUAGCGGUGAAAUGCGUAGAUAUUAGGCGGAACACCAGUGGCGAAGGCGGCUUACUGGACUGUAACUGACGUUGAGGCUCGAAAGCGUGGGGAGCAAACAGGAUUAGAUACCCUUGUAGUC